GGGGCUUUUAUGAUGUCGACUAAACUAAGUUACGGUUUUUACUUUAACUUGAAAUUAUUAAACUUUUCAGCUUUACUUAUUCAUGUAACAUUAUAAAUGUGAUUCAUUGCAUAUUUCUUGUAAUAUUCAUGCAAACAAUCUAAACUUUCAGGCAAAAAAUAUAUUUUCAACUACUUUCGACUCGACACUAUAAAAAACCCUUUGACAGUCAUUGCUAACCAACUAAUUUGAAGAGUACUAUUUCAUGCCAAAAAUGGGUAAUCACGUAUGUUAACCAAAAAUAGCUGCAUAAUACAAUCUAAUCAUAACAUGUCGACUUAAGAUUUUUUGUUUGAAUACUUUGAUAAGUUUUCUGAAGUGUGUUUCUCAAGUGUCGUAUGUAAUAAAUCAUGUUUCCAAGUGCUUUUAUGCCAAGGUACGAGUUCCCUAAGGAAGUAUUAUGUCGUACUUUACUACAGUCCAACUUCUACGUCUGCUGUAUUUUGGUUCACAACAAGUUUUGUUUUGGAAUUAAAAACUUCUUUAAAAUGGCUCCAUAUACGGGGUUCGGCAACUCCUCAACAAAUCGAAACCGUUCUCAAUUUCCUGGACGAACAUAGAGAUUUAGCUCGCGGGAGAUUGAAUAGUUGAACCCAGCCAGGAAGAUAACCUGAGAGUACCACCACCAUUGACACAAGAACGCCUGACUUUCACACCUUCCUCUCGACAUACACACUACAAGGAGACGAUCUGCCAGCACAGGUGUAAGAAGCCGGUUGUAUCAAUAUGAAGAGGAGCGUGCACAGAGAGAGAGAGACGGUGCAAAACGCAGAGCUUGCAAGCAUCAGGGGCGAA
rnacentral:lncRNA from 1 species